AAAGAGGAGAAGGGGCCGUCAGAAUCUACUGGACCAAAUCCCCCCCUCCGCCCAGCCGGGGAAAACCCAGGCGUGAGUCAGACGGCAGCACGCUCCCCGGCCGGCCGCAGCGCAGACCUCAGACAAGCCCCAGAGCGGAGGCAGCACAGUGGGAUCGCAACAGGAGCUUCAUUCACGGUCUGCUCGGGGUCAGCCUUGCCAGCUUUGUGUGAGGAAAUGAAACUCGAGUUGCUUUCUGGAAUACCAUCGUGAGCACGGUGCACCACGCCCUCGCCCAAAGACCACAGCAUCCUUUGCAGCCCAGCGACUUUCACCCUCCACAUUACUGCACGCUUAACUAGCAGGAGGUCUCUGAGUCGCCCAAGGUCAUCCGAAAGCCAGAAUAAGAGACAAUGGAGAGAAGACAUACAAAACCAAAAGCACCAAGAGCCUCCAUCAAAUGAGGGGCUGGGAAGAAGCUGCAGAAACGACAAGUGAAUCCAAGGACACAGGGUAGCUCCUGGGGACAAUUCUCUUGCAUUUGUCAAGCACAGCUUGGAAGCUGCUGUGCAGGGAGGAAAACCAUCCCCACCUCUGGGCCUGGGACCAAGAGUGACCGAAUCUUGUAGUCAGAGGGGACCUCCAAAUUCUUUCUUUAAAAGGAGGGAGGGAAGUGUUUAACAUUUUCUUCCAGCAACUUGGAAACACCACCAUUUUGAGUUGCUUACUUAAGAAUGCGGCGACUGCUUCCUCAAGGAGGUAGCUUUUUUCUUUAAUGUAAUCACUACCAACAACAACAAAAAAGGAAUAUUUCUCAAAUAAGUUUCUUUAUAUUCAAAUCACCUUUGGACACAGACCAAACAUGGACAGCAUCAGCCUACUUGAAGAAAAUUUCCAGGCUUUCACAAGAGCCUGGGGAAAACGGGAUUAUAAUGAGAGCCAUUCUGGAACCUUAACUACAGCAUUCGCCAUCCCAAACACUAUAAUAAUCAUUAUUAUUCUCUGGUAUCUAUUAUUGUCUGGUAAAUAAUAUGUGUUUUCCCCCAAAGUUCUAAAGGGUGCAGCUGCACCACACUCUAUUUUUCGCAGCCCCGUUCCUGCUCUUCUGAAAGCCUGCUCACACGAAGCUUAUUUUAAGAGAAUGAUAAACUAGACAAUUUGUGCUGUUUCCGUUCCUCUCACCACAUACUUGCCGUGUCUGGGACACCCCUAAAGGCCAGAUGGUGGCAGUACAAGUCCCUUUCUGCUGCUACCAUUUGAGGAGGGGGCGGUAGUGAAGUCCCCCUCAUUUGUUCUCCUGGCUCUGACGGGUUCAGGGCGGCCCCCUUGUUGGAGACACAGGAAUGGACUCUGGAAUCAAUGAAAAUGAAGAACCAAGCUUGGGCUUCACUGUCCUGAUAUUUAUUGGUAUGCAAGGUGUGAAACUCAACAGAGUGGAAAA